UGGGGAAUUUUGGACAAUGGGGGAAACCCUGAUCCAGCCAUGCCGCGUGAGGGAUGAAGGCCUUCGGGUUGUAAACCUCUUUCAGACGGAACGAAACGGUUCAGGUUAAUAGUCUGAAUUAAUGACGGUACCGUAAGAAGAAGCACCGGCUAACUACGUGCCAGCAGCCGCGGUAAUACGUAGGGUGCGAGCGUUAAUCGGAAUUACUGGGCGUAAAGCGUGCGUAGGCGGCUUCGCAAGUCAGGUGUGAAAGCCCUGGGCUCAACCUAGGAAUUGCGCUUGAAACUACGGAGCUAGAGUUUGGCAGAGGGGGGUGGAAUUCCACGUGUAGCAGUGAAAUGCGUAGAUAUGUGGAGGAACACCGAUGGCGAAGGCAGCCCCCUGGGCCAAAACUGACGCUCAGGCACGAAAGCGUGGGGAGCAAACAGGAUUAGAUACCCCUGUAGUCCCUGAGCGGGCUGGCAAGGCGCAU
rnacentral:rRNA from 1 species